rnacentral:lncRNA from 1 species
CCUCAUGCCUUGGCUUCCCAGAGUGCUGAGAUUACAGGUGUGUGCCAUCAUACCUGGCUUUUUAAUUUUUAUUUUGAGACAGUAUCACUAAGUUUCCCAGGCUGUCCUGGACCUUGGAAUCUUCCUGCCUCAGCUUCCUGAGUAGCUGGUAUUAAUGAUACCUCCCGGAGCUACCAGAAUUUUGGGGGCCACCUGAGCCCUUGCAAGUGCCAGCCCCCUCAAACUCAUGUAGCAGCUCUCUGAAGUCCACAGGAGCAGCCAGAAACCUGGCCACACAGCCAGCCUGUGUGAACCAGAGGAUUCACAACCCACAGAGGAUAGGCCAGGGGAAGAAGCCCUCUGCCAGUGUCAAGCCCUGUGGGGGGAGGGGGCAGACGGGGGAAUGGCUGGGAUGGGAAGGUCUGGAAACCAAGUCACAUCGAAGCCUCAAGAACCUGGGGGAGAUGGUGAAAGAACUUGGCCGAGUUCCUGAUGACCAUGGAGCAGAUAAAGAAACACCUUGCCCUGCUGGGUCCCAGGCAGUGGCCCUAGGACUUCUAGCCACCAGAGCUGCCCUCCAAUAAGGAGACCCACUUGUGCAAGAGCAAGCGGCACAUCACAGGAGCCUGGACACUGUUUCCCUCCUUUGCUGUGUUUCGAAGUCUGCCUGAACUUCCAGGCCUGGCAGAGACGCUGCCCACCAUUCUUCAACUGGUUCCUGAGCCCCUGAGAACCUGGUGACGCCAAGGCCUCCCCCCAGCCCCUGGAGAACAUGCACUGAGCAUGCUCACGUCCUUGCACACAGGAAUUUUAGGAGCUUCCUGGACACCCUGACCCUUCAAGGAAUGGAUCCCUAUCCAAUCCCUUGUCCCUACUUGAAAAGGCCAGGAACUGAGGCUCACAGAGGAAGGGACUUGCCCAAGGUCAGCCCGGCACAGAGGGGCUGAUCAGCUGGACUUGGCCUAGACACCCAAUGUGGAGCCCCAGGGACCCCUGCCUUAGGGCCUCUCGCCCCAAGUAUCAACUAGGAGCCAGGGUGUGUGUGUG